CCACCACCUCGUCUGGGAGGUGUACCCAACAGCUCAUUGAGAACGGGCCAGGAUGACAAUGGCGGUUUUGUGGAAUAGAAAGGGGGGAAAGGUGGGGAAAAGAUUGAGAAAUCGGAUGGUUGCCGUGUCUGUGUAGAAAGUAGACAUGGGAGACUUUUCAUUUUGUUCUGUACUAAGAUAAAUUCUUCUGCCUUGGGAUCCUGUUGAUCGGUGACCUUACCCCCAACCCUGUGCUCUCUGAAACAUGUGCUGUGUCCACUCAGGGUUAAAUGGAUUAAGGGCGGUGCAAGAUGUGCUUUGUUAAACAGAUGCUUGAAGGCAGCAUGCUCGUUAAGAAUCAUCACCACUCCCUAAUCUCAAGUACCCAGGGACACAAACACUGCGGAAGGCCGCAGGGUCCUCUGCCUAGGAAAACCAGAGACCUUUGUUCACUUGUUUAUCUGCCAACCUUCCCUCCACUAUUGUCCUAUGACCCUGCCAAAUCCCCCUCUGCGAGAAACACCCAAGAAUGAUCAAUAAAAAAAA
rnacentral:lncRNA from 1 species